GAUCAUUGAGGGUAAAACAGGCAUUUACCGCACCCAACUUUAGGGUAUAAAGAGAUGUGGGAUACGCCGCCCCACCAAUAAUC
rnacentral:ncRNA from 1 species